AAUUUGCCUGAUGUUUAACAAAGGGAGCAGGUCAAUCCAGCAAGCACGAGACAGGAAUAAAAAGCAUCAGCAUCUGCAGGGAGCGAUGCAGUGCAGCAAGGGGGAGCAGAAGAAGCAGGGAAAGGCUUUUUAUAAUGUUUUGUGGGGAUUUCUGGAUUUGCUAAGCCCUGUGUAAGAAAUGUGUGCAUAGCCCUGUGUAUAACCUCCCUGCCUGGUUUCAAUGUGCCUUGCUGAACUUGAUUCUCACCUGCAUAUUCAGGUGUAAAGCAGGAUGGACAUCGGAUGUACCAAAAUUGGAGUUGUCUGUAAAGUGCUGGGUCUGGGUGAUCAGGGCAGUGUUUGCAGAUGUCCAGACCCCGUGGGAGGGUGUGCACACACAAGUCGCCCCUUGCUGUCUCUCUGUGGCUAGCACCACGUACCUUUCCCCCUCUGCCCCAGCAGCAGUGGGACAUGGCCCCCCAUUUGUCUUUAUAAGUGCCACAUCACAUUUCACCAUUCGGGUAGAAGAAACAGUGAUGGGAUAUUUGUUCUCUGCAAAAUACAAAGUGACAGGACAUCUUUCUCAACAAAUGAAUAACCAAGUUUAAAUAACCAUGCCAAAAUAUUCUUUUGAAAAACGUCUGUCCCUAAUUCAGUUUGCCCGAUCAUUGUAAUUUAGUGUAGUUUCCUUCUGAGAAACUGAAUUAUUUGGGAGGCCACACAAGACUGCAAAGGGUGGUGAGAAGGCAUAUGGAGAGAAAGACAGAAGCACAGUGAAGCAGCAGGAACAGUAAGAUGGAAAACCCGAGCUGUGGAGCCAGCCAUGCCCAGGAUAACCGUGUGUGAGGAACAAGCCACGUGUGGAAUCCUAAGCAGAGAACUCCUGGGGAGGGGCAAGAAAAGUACCACGAAGUAAAAAUCCUUUAGGCAAAAUAGAGAAUUGCACCGCGAUGGAUAUGUGAUUCUUUUUCUUAUGUAUCUAGGCAACUAUUUGCUUUAGAAGUAAUGACUGUUAUAAAUCACAGAAUGAAGUUUCUAAACCCAACACAUGCCUGGAACAGAGCUGUUGAUACUAUCCAGCUAAUAAAACAUAUUUCUUGAAGCAACAUCAAGUUACCUAUCAUUGUGUCACUCACCUUUGUGACAAUGAUUACAGCUUAUGCAGGGCAUAAUUUAGGACACCUUUAGAACAGCUCUAGUCUUGUGUCUGGAAACAGCAAAAAGCCAAAGGAACUGUGAACAUAUGCCAUCUUACAAACAAAUGGUGUCAUCUAAUUCGUGAAUUUCUGAAUGUCACAUGAAGAUAUGCGGUAUGACAGUCUCAGCCGGUGCCUCUCCCUGCCAUUGCUUUGGCUGAGGCUAUUACUUUUGGGGUCAGUG